AUUGAACGCUGGCGGCAGGCCUAACACAUGCAAGUCGAACGAGUGGCGGCCGGGUGAGUAAUAUAUCGGCACCUGCCCCGUCGCGGGGGAUAACUACUCGAAAGAGUGGCUAAUCCCGCAUACUAUCGGAUCGGCCGAUAUCGGAUUCGCUAGUUGGUGGGGUAAAGGCUCCCCUAGGCAACGAUCGGUAGCUGGUUUGAGAGGAGGACCAGCCACACUGGGAAUGAGACACGGCCCAGACUCCGACGGGAGGCAGAAGUGGGGAAUAUUGGACAAUGGGGGAAAGCCUGAAGGAGCCAUGCCGCGUGUAUGAGAAGGCCUUCGGGUUGUAAAGUACUUUUGGCAGAGAAGCGGUAAAUGCAGAAUAAGCACCGGCGAACUACGUGCCAGCAGCCGCGGUAAUAC
rnacentral:rRNA from 1 species